GCGGGGACCACCUACGUGUCACUUGGGCGGGUCCCGAUCGCAGGCACAGAGCACAGCGUGGGCCCCGGAGCGCGCUGGGGACCGGAGGGCGGGGGCCCCGGGCGGCUGCCGCAACUGCUCUCCCGGGGCUCGGUCAAUUGGUUGGGGAGGCCGUCAGCGCCUCGCUCCUACAGGCUGGCCCGCGGGCAUAGACAACCACCCACACCCGGCACAGGCGCGCGCGUAUACACACACACACACACACGCACGCACGCACCCACAGCCACAAAGCGCGUCUGCCGCCGGGAAGCGCGAUCCCGGGGCGCCCUUUGGCCGCAGAAGGGACCCGGGGCCGCAGGCUCGGCGCUCAGAGGGUACCGUCUUCCCGCGCCGCGCCCGCGCCUUUACCUGCGCCCGCCGCCGCCUCGCGUCCGGCUCCCGCCGCCCCCAGGCUGGCCUCAGGCUGCGCGGUCAAUCCCCGCAGCCCCCGCCCCGCGGCCCGCCGAGCCCGGCCCUCCGCCCGCCCCUCGGCCGUCGCCCGGAGCGGGGCCGCCCCCUGCGCCCACCCCGCCGGGGUCCCGAGCGCGGCCGGGAGGCCGGGAAGGGCUCAGCAGCGCGGGGACCCUGGCCGCCCGACAGCGGGCGGGCUCCGCUGGGGGACAGGGGCGUCGCGGCUCGGGGAGCGUCUGCCGCCGCUCCGCCUGGAGUGCUCCGGCUUUGGCGCGCUGGCAGGGGCGGCGGGGGAGGGGGCGCCGAGGGAGGGCCACGGGAGCCGCGCAGACGCCGGCCUCCUUCUUCCUCCGCCUCCUUCUUUUCUGCUGGCUCCACGUAGCACAAGUCAGCAAGUCCUGCACCUCCCGACUCCCUCCCCCUGGCUCAUUCCCUUACCUGGCGCGACGCCCCCCGAGCCCCGACCCUCGGCGCUCCUCCUCCCCCAUUCAGUUGCUGGACUUCCAGCCUCGUCUGCAGAGCGGGGGCGGAGGGUACCUCAAGCCUCCCAUUCAUGAUCUUCCCAGCGCCCCCCCACCCGGAGAGAACCCACCCGGGGCCCGAGACCCUAGGGCCUCCAACUCCAUCUCCCCACCCCGCACCCGCUCCCGCGCUCACCUCUGCGACCGGCAGCUUGCGGGACUCGGGUGGCCACCCCCACACGUUGCAUUUUCAUUUUGUCGCUCUUUUCUUCCCACUUGA
rnacentral:lncRNA from 1 species